AUAGGUGAGUAAGAUUGUAGGGGGUACACCCAGUAACAUCUCGAACCUGGCAGUUAAGCCCUAUUCGCCAAGAAUACUUUACGGGAACUCUUGGUUUGCCUAUC
rnacentral:rRNA from 1 species